UUCCUCAGUGGCGUAUCUUACGUCAUCACAUCAGUCAUUCGCUUGCAGUCACUAUGUCACUAUACUCUGAAAUUGUGUCUGACCAGCUGCCGGCCGCCAUCUCGGCAGUUAAGAGCCACCUUGCAAAACAGAGUCCCUCUCAGCUGGCUCGAAUUGUUUUCACUGAGUUCAUCACCUUCUUAAGGAAGUACUGGGCAUGGGCCAUGUACUUCAUCAUUCUCAGGAAGUUGUACCGCAUCUUGAGCCGCACCAACAAGCGCUCCUCCAAGCCAAAUAGAAUCAAGAGGUCUUCUGCUUCCAUUCCUGACAGCAAAGACUCUGUCGCCGACUUGGUGUCCACUCCCCGCACAGUGGAUAUCGCCUUUCUCACUGACACUGCCGAAUAUGCGCCAUCAAAAAAUCAGAUGAUCGUCGGCGAUGGCGUCAUCGUCAUAAAUCGUAAUGACCGUUACGUCGAGGUGUACGAGCGCAAGAACGUCGCAAAAGUAGGCAGUGUUGAGGCAGAGGUCAAAGCACUGCUCAAGGAGUUUGCGGCUCGCAACAACAGAUGAGUGUACCGUAGAGAACGUCGAUUCCUCGCGUUUCAAGUCACAAGUUAUUUAUCGCUUAUCUUUUCCGUUAUCUUCUUCCUUGAAGAAUAACUGAGGAAUAGACAUGCUCUUUCUUCUUUUUGGUGUUUCCCGUUUUGCUCAUGUCUCUUUAUAUUUUUUUUUUUGUCCAGCGUGCAAAAAAAAAAGAAAACUGCUUUCACGUUCCUCUUAGCCUUCCAUCCACCCGAAGUCCGAAUGAUGCGAUUCGGUCAGUAAACACUCCUACACAAGAUUUUCUCUCUGGCUCUCUUCUGUUUUACUCUGUGUGAAGGUCAUGUGCUGCGCUCUCAGUCUUCUAAGCUG
rnacentral:misc_RNA from 1 species